rnacentral:misc_RNA from 1 species
CACCAAUCAAGCCCCGCUUGGUAUUAGGCGCCUGGCCGGCCCCCCGUGGCCGGCCCGCCCGAAAUGCAUCGGCGAGGCACCGACCCCCGGCGUGUUAGAAUUUCGAAACGUCAGGAGCACCGGUGUUAACCUCCGCCGUGAAACCUUUCAAACUAUUUUUCUAA